rfam:Camelus ferus unplaced genomic scaffold scaffold898, whole genome shotgun sequence.
GGAGGUAUAGCUUAUUAGUAGAGUGUGUGCCUAGAAGGCACAAGGUACUGGGUUCAAUUCCCGGUGCCUCCA